rnacentral:misc_RNA from 1 species
AGUUUAUUUUUAAUGUAGGAGUUAAAAUAUUAGGUCUGUUCGACCUUUAAAACUUUACAUGAUCUGAGUUUAAACCGGUGUGAGCCAGGUUGGAUUCUAUCUUUAAUAAAAUUGAAUGUUUUAGUACGAAAGGACCAAAUAUUUAUUAUAGUAGUUUUAUUUGAAUAUUAUUAUUAUUUUGGCAGAUUAGUGCUUUAAAUUUAGAAUUUAAUUAUGUGAUAUACACAAAUAAUAC